UACACACACACACACACACACACACACACACGAUUUGAUCGGCAUACUGACAAGACACAGGUGGGAAGGAUCGCCUAAUGACCUGGGAGGAAACACAGGAGGGCAGGUGUGGGUAAUCACAGAGGCAUCGACACAAAAGGGGAAGAAGUGGAGGAGCUGAGGGAGGACACGACAGGUGAGACCGAAGACAGCAGUGACAGUGAUGUAGAGGCAAAUAAAGGACAAGAAGCAUGGAAGGCAGGAGGAAAACAACAACACGCUCGGACAUCGUUUGUCUCUGAGGAACAAGUCAAAGGGGAUUUAAGCUGGAAAGUGAAAAAUGACACUAUACAUCUGGUGCAAGGAGCCGGGGAGUGUUUACGUGAGUGUGACAGCCCGAGACAAUCUUCAUAUGCUUUGUGUCUCUCUGACAAGGAGGCCUACGAAGGGCUGCGCCUGCUGGUGUGUCGGCGCCCUCUGCUGGGGGGACAUUACCAUCUCCUCCUAUCCUUGGUAUCAGGAUGUGGUGCAUGUAGACUUGAUGUCAGCAGCACUGCCACACCUGAACGUGCAACGUCAGUACACACACGGACAUGUGUGAGAUCACGAGCGAUAACACGCCUAAUGUGGUGAUUAACGCAGAGUUAGAGCUGCUCUGUGCAGAUGUUGACCUCAGUGGGAUCAAAGAGGUCAACACGUGGAAAGGUCAGGCCCUUCAUCAUGGUGUUAUUAACAGACAUAUGUACAUAAAUGACGCCUGUGUUCACCGUCACUGUUUGUCUUUAAAACAGGAGCGUGCAAACAAGCCAGAUAUUAUUAUUAAUAUAUAAAUAAAUAAAUAAACACUGGGAUUAAUAAAUAUUAAUCCCAGUGUGAAACGGUGUGUAUCACUUCCUUAUGAGACAGCACUAUAUGUAUUAUAUCCAUGGACUGUAUAUAUAGACUGGGCAGAGCCACCCUGGGCAGAGCCACCCUCAAAGGUGCUGACUAAGGCCACAGCUGGUGUCCUAGUUCUUAAUGUACAGGAUGUCUGUUAGAAAUGAGUCGGCCUGUUAGUCAUUUGUCUUACAAAAAAUCAUGUUGCUCUGCACAUGCAAUGAUAUUUUAAGGACAUUCAUAUGCACAGUGUCAUCCUUUAUGAUUUUAAUGCAUCCAAAAAACUAGAGAAAGUCUGUGUUGGACCACAGGUUCUUAAGGACAUAAAACCACAACAAAUGUCACAACAGUGAAAACAAUGCAGUACCCAAAUGGUCCAUUUACUGCAUCACCAGUAUGACAAUGAGGUGAUGUCGUGGCUGCUGUAAAUCUCAAGAGAGGACAGAAAUCUGAAGUGGUCUGAGUAGGUGUGUUUGAUUAUCCCUGGUGGGCCAUUAAAAAUAUUUUUUUUAUUUUUUGUUUUUGUUUGUUGUUUUAAUGGUGAGGAGAUUGUCCUCCAAAUGCAAAGAAAAACUUUUGAAGAUGAGUGCAGAGUAAAUUCACUGAGUCAUUUCUCAUCCAUUUCCUUGAAGGCUUCUCUGGACCAAAGCCAAGACAGUCUACAAUCCACACUUUAAGAGAGCUGGCGGAUCACUUCACUGUGAGAAACCCGGUCUGUCAUUCCUCGUAAGUGUACUGCUCUGAUGUUAAAAACAAGAUGAAGGAUGACUCUUGACAGAGUGAUUUUUCCCACUAUUGUCAGUGGAACACUGUCUGUGGCCUUGGUGUCACCUCGGCCAUUACAGUAUUUCUUAUGUUUUAUAAGAGCUUUGUCCACAGGUGGAAACCCUGCUGAAAUCUUUCUUCAUCUUUUGUGCUGAGGUGGUUGAAUAUUUCCGUAUAUUAGCCUGUGCACAGCAGCAGGUGUGGAUCAGUGAGCACAGCGGGGUGGGUGGGGGGGUGGGGGGGACUCGAACCAAAGUGGUGGGUGGAUUCCAGCUGGAUUACCCAAGAUUGGUUGAAAAGCUCUAAAACAGAUGUUAUAAUUACAGGAGGUGUUCCAUUAUAGAGACAUACAUAGAUUUCAGUGCAUGUCUUUUGGGCAUAUCCAAGAGCUUUGACAAAUGUUGUUUGUCAAACAUUGAGCUGUCUUAUUAUUUUUUAUUUAUUCAAGUGCAUCUCAAGAAAGGAUUAAUUAAUUAAUUAAUUAAUUUCACUGUGGUUUUUUUUUCUUUCCCUCAGCACUGAACGUCUGUUCUUGCACAACCCGAGUGAUGAGAGUUGGCGCAAUAAGUGAAAUGGAACCCACGGCUGCUGCGAUCAAAGGACCACAACUGCCCAUGUCUUUCAGUGGUCCAGUACUUCUCAAUGGAAUAUGACACGCUGGACAUAUGUGAGGACAUUCCUUCCAGUGAACAUCAUCAUCUCCACCACUGCAGUGGAAACUGAAAUUCCUCCAUUCUCCCCUCGGCCUGUGAGUAGACUGUAACAUUCCAGUGGAGAAUGUAAACAUGACGAGCCUCAGAUUCAUGCUCGUGAUCCUAAUUUCACACGACAGCGGGCUGCUGUACAUGGCUGAGGGCAACUUAUGGCUGUGUGACUGCAUCACUGGCCGGUAUGUGAUGUGGUUCUUAGAAGAGACUUUGCAUCAGAUCUGUACGUGUGAAGAUAGAGAAUGACAUGGUGUUUCAACAGUUCCCUCUUUGUCGUCUUUAAACCGACACACAUGACCAUCGUCAUUCUUUCCUCCGUCAUUUCAACACAUUUGCUGCUGUAACAGUUGACUUUUAUUUUUUAUUUUAAAAUGGCAGACGGUAUUCAAAAAAUUGUUUUUGUAGCAUAUAUGCAAGUUAUUACAUGUGAGCUACACACACAGGUACAACAGACGACAGACGAAGCAAGUCAGGCGCUUUCUUAUUUUUUUAAGCCACUUUUUAAAAGCUAUACUACUGCACAUUUAGAGAGAAAAGAAAAACAGCCGACAGUUAAUUCUGACAAGGAACAAUCUGACCAGGUGAGAAAUGUGAGUGUUUGGCGUCACCAGGAGAUGAAAAGGCUUCAUUUCUGAACAUUUUUGUUGUGUUUCAAACAUGUUAAGACCUGAAAAUCCUAGAACUGAGAGCAGUUCCUCUACAAUAAGAAACGUAGCAAGAUUCAUGUUCAUGCAAAACCAGGAAGUUGAUACUCCAACUUAAAAUGCAACAAUAACCAAAAUAUGUAAUUUGACGAGACGCAUGUUACACCUUAAAUUAAAGCAUAUGAAUUUCAUGUUGAGCGAAGUUCCCACUUCUGUCAUCCGGGUCGAUCCGCGAGAACAGAAUCCGUACAAAUCUGACGGAGCAGCCCUUUCCUCUAGUCUGACAAACAUCAGUCUAGUGAUUUUAACUCGCUCUCUUCCUCCUUAGCACUGUUUAACUCGCCGCUAUCUCCCAAGGGAAACAUAUGGUUCUUUAGCUGCUAAAUGUUCCCCUUUUGUUCCCCGCUAACGGUGCCCAUCUUCUGUUUGUUGCUAAGAAUUAGUGUGCAGUGGCAUUUUGAGAGCUGUCUUAAUUAAAUCAGCCGCCUGCUCCAGACGACAUCAAGGCCCUGAGAGCAGUGGGAGCAGACCAAAACAACAGCUGCAGGUCACACAGCCCUAAACAAUAGGCUGAAAU